UUGCUAUCUGUAAAUCGUGCUAAAACCUUGUUUAAGCUCAGAAGAAAAAGUUCAUCUAGCAACUAAAAUGCUGGGUAAACAUUUUUUAUUUGCAUUGCAGGUGUGAAGAAGUGGAGCUGCGCAGCAGCAGACCAUCAUGUGUGAAAUGAACUUCCUAAUUACAGCACUGCAAGGCCAUUGAAGCCCCUGGAAAAUGAGAGGGGAAAGCACUCCAGCAGCGUAUGGAACCUCUUGCAAUUCCUUUAAUGCGCUCAUCUUUUUUUUUUCUGUGGCUGUGAAAGCAGUGCCCAUUAGUCUGCCUUAUCUGUCAGGUACAAGGCUAGAAGAAGUCUCAGCUGCAGUGAGACACUGGAUAGCAAACUCGUGGUAAAGCGAAGAUACUGUAGCAGAAGCACUGUGUGUAUUUUAGAUAUGCAUAUAUGUUGCUGCUCAGAUGAGAUCCAAGACCCAGGAUAUGUGAUUUAAAGGUAUGUACUUCCAUGCUCUUUGUUCUUCUCCAAAUCUUAGGUUGCCCUCAAGAGUUACUAGGUCCUAAACCACCCAUUUUUUACCACCCAUAAGCCAGGAGUAAAUCUUCCUCCUGGUAACUGAGGAGUUAAGAUAGGUAAAGCACACAGUUAUGAACUGGAUAUUUUCUGAUUCCAAAAUGCGUUCUGCGCUUUUGCUCCUGCAUGAAUAAAGUGUGAAUUUGACACAUGAGAAAGCAAGUGAACCAUUAGCGUGUGUCAGUGAACCCUCUUCUGAUGCCAGUUUUCUUGAUUUGUUGUCCUUUUGCAGAGGAGUAAAUGACCACUUGAUAAAGCCAAAUGAAGCUUCCACAGCCACUCUGGUGAGGCUUUGUCUUACCAGGCUGCUGUAACAGUAGCUGUGCUGCAGUCCCAGACUUUCAGGGGUCUGCUUUGUAUUGAGACUUGGAGAUUUAUUGUAUGCAGAAUUCCCUUCAUGGCACUGCUGGCUAUAGGGGGCCUUUUCUCUCCUUGUGCCAUCGGGGCACCCAAGGUGCUGAAAAAAAUGCUUCCUUUCUUAGUCAUCAUUGGAUUAUUUUUCUCAGCUGCAGCAGUUCUCUGAUCUGGCUUGGUGUGCCACUGCUCAAAUACUUGUACGGGCAUCAUGGAGGGCAGCAUCAGACUUGAAGAGUACAAUACCUCUUGCCUGUCUUCCUGCAGCUGAAUGAAAGUCUGUGUAAGACACAGCUCCUAAGGACUUUUGUGAGCCCAGACUAAAUUUCUGCUGUUAUUGAAUGAGACAGUUCCCUUUUAUUGUUAUGUGAGUCAUUGGAGGAACUCCUCUUAGACCUAUGGGAGCAUUUGAGACACGUGGCUUCAUAGCUGCUGGGUGGGAGGCACUAACACAGAGUGACUCAUCACUCCCCUCAGGGACAAGAAGAGGUUUACGCAGUCGACUGGAAAUCGUAUUUUUAUGUGCAGAUAGACCUCUUCAUGGUGGAGCAUCCCAAAGCAGUUUACAAAAA
rnacentral:lncRNA from 1 species